GGUGUCUUUGUGAUAUCAGAACAGAAAGUCCAAUUUAGACAAGCAAUGGCAGACAGCACGAAACUCUUAAAACAGGCUGUAAAAAAAUAAUGCAAACCAGGGGUAAGAGGUGUGGAUGAGUAGUAGUAAUCUGAAUGUGCCACAGGAAGAAGAAGAAGAAGAAAUUGUUGGUCUGUCAAAAUACUUUGCUUUCUUGUGUGCUAAGUUCAAAUGAUUCAUUGGUGCUUUUACCUUACAGCUACAGGUGUGGCUGACCAGAAGCAGGAGGACAGUGCCGGACCAAAGCUACAGGAGUCUGUUCAGAGCCGUCACUGUAGCUGUCAGACCACCGGCAGAUAUCUCCCAAUCUAUUUUCCAGCUGUGAGGAGCUCUUCCCGGAGCUCUACGCCAAAA